GACGAACGCUGGCGGCGUGCUUAACACAUGCAAGUCGAACGGAAAGGCCUCUUUCGGGGGGUACACGAGUGGCGAACGGGUGAGUAACACGCGAGUAACCUGCCCUUGACUUUGGGAUAACUUCAGGAAACUGGGGCUAAUACCGGAUAGGAGCUCUUGUUGCAUGGUGGGGGUUGGAAAGUUUCGGCGGUUGGGGAUGGACUCGCGGCUUAUCAGCUUGUUGGUGGGGUAGUGGCUUACCAAGGCUUUGACGGGUAGCCGGCCUGAGAGGGUGAACGGCCACAUUGGGACUGAGAUACGGCCCAGACUCCUACGGGGGGCAGCAGUGGGGAAUAUUGCACAAUGGGUGGAAGCCUGAUGCAGCAACGCCGUGUGCGGGAUGACGGCCUUCGGGUUGUAAACCGCUUUCGCUCAUGACGAAGCUUUGUGUGACGGUAGUGGGUAAAGAAGCACCGGCUAACUACGUG
rnacentral:rRNA from 1 species